rnacentral:rRNA from 1 species
GACGAACGCUGGCGGCGUGCUUAACACAUGCAAGUCGAACGGCAAGGCCCUGCUUUCGUGCGCUUCUCGAGUGCCGAACGGGUGCGUAACACGUGAGUAUCCUGCCCUUCAUUUUGGGAUAACUUCAGGAAACUGGGGUUACUAUCGGAUCGGAUCCGCUGCUGGAUGGAGGGCGUUGGAACGUUUCGGCGGUCGGGGCUGGAUUGGCGGCUUACGAGCUUGCUGGUGGGGGAGUUGCUGACCAAGCCUUUGACCGGUAGGCCGCCUGUGAGGGUGGACGGCCACAUGACGACUGAGGGACGGCCCAGAGUCCUACGGGAGGCAGCAGUGGGGAGUAUUGCACAAUGGGCGGGAGCCUGAUGCAGCAGCGCCGCGUGCGGGAUGACGGUCUUCGGGUUGUGAACCGCUUUCGCCUGAGACGAAGCGGGAGUGACGGUACUGGAUAAAGAAGCACCGGCUAACUACGUG